GGAUGUGAGGGCAAGCUGGCUGCAACAUUAGUCACCCCAUUGAUCACCAUGGUUGAUUCCCACUGAUCUGGCUGCUAGGCAGGUGUGCCCUCCUCCCUUCCUCACUGCUACCAACUGGUCUUCAGUCAAGGGUAUAUGAGAAGCUGUGCUCCCCUGCUAGAACCUCCAAACAAGCUCUCAAGGUCCAAAAACAUCAUGUUUGUAUUGUUUCAUUUCUCUACUUAAAACUUUUCAAUAACUUAUUUUACCCUUAGAA
rnacentral:snRNA from 1 species